UAAAAAUACAAAGUUAGUCAGGUAUGGUGGUUCAUGCCUGUAAUCCCAGCUUCUUGGGAGGCUGAGGCAGAAGCAUCACUUGAACCCGGAAGGCAGAGGUUGCAGUGAGCUGAGAUCACACCAUUGCACUCCAGCCUGGACAACAAGGGUGAAACUCCCUCUCAAAAAGGAAAAAAAAAAAAAGAAUAAUUGGACCAGACAUGGUGGCUUACGUCUGAAUCCCAGAAUCCCAGAACUUUGGGAGGUCAAGGUGGGCAGAUCACCUGAGGCUAGGAGUUUAAGACCAGUCUGGCCGACAUGGCAAAACUCGUCUCUACUAAAAAUACAAAAACUAGCCAGGCAUGAUGGUGCAUGUCUGUAAUUCCAGCUACUCAGGUGGCUGAGGCAAGAGAAUCACUUGAACCCAGGAGGCAGAGACUGCAGUGAGCUGUACUCUAGCCUGGGUGACAGAGCAAGAUACUGUCUCAAAGAAAAUUUAAAAAGGGCAGGCAUGAUGGCUCACACCUGUAAUCCCAGUACUUUGGUAGGCUGAGGCAGGCGGAUCACCUGAGGUCAGGAGAUUGAGACCAGCCUGGCCAAUAUGGUGAAACCCCACCUCUACUAAAAAUUCCAAAAAUUAGCCGGGCUUAGUGGCAGGCUCCUGUAAUCCUAGCUACUCAGGAGGCUGACACAGAAGAAUUGCUUGAACCCAGGAGGCAGAGGUUGCAGUGAGCCAAGAUUGCACCAUUGCACUCCUGCCUGGGCAACAAGAGCAAAACUUAGUAUUGAAAAAAAAAAAAAGAAAAAUUGAAGCCAGUUCUCUCCCUAUCAGAAGAGUGAAUUACAAAUAUGGAAAGGGAGAAAUCUAACAUAAAUUCUGUGGUUUGGGAUUGAGAACUGGAAGUAACAGUGUGAACUCACAGUUUGCAAGAUAGAUAGAGAUACAUAGAUAUAAACGUGUGUGUGUGUGUGUGUGUGUGUGUGUGUGUGUGUGUCCGUGUCCUAUUUGUCCUAUUGCUGUACAGGAGAGGGCCUGGGAGGAGCAGAAUCCUAACAGCAAUGGGCAUAUCUGGCACUCAGAUCUUGGCUUGAGUACACUUCGGACCCAGAAAUAUCAUUUUCCCUAAAAGGAAUGAGAGAAAUGGUGGAUCCUGGGCUUGGAGCAGGGAAUAUGCAAGAUGAGCCCCAAACAUCUUUUUGUACCAAAAGCAAGGAUUUGCUUAAAGAAUGUUAGGGGCGGCUGGGCAUGGUGGCUCACGCCUGUAAUCCAAGCACUUUGGAAGCCAAGGUGGGCGGAUCACCUGAGGUCGGGAGUUCAACGCCAGCCUGACCAACACGGUGAAAUCCUGUCUUAAAAAAAAAAAAAGAAUGUUAGGGGCAUAUAAAAAGGACCCAUGAGCCAUCAUCAAGGGCUUCUGCUGGCCAAAUCUGGUACAAUGUGAACCAAUCAAAUUAAGAAAGUAUAGCCCUAUUUUGAAUAAAAUAGGAAAGCAUGAGUCCAUACUCAUAUAUAUAAAUAAGUGAGAACAUUGAUGAGGCACCGGCUAUUUAUAGAGUUUCAGAGUAUCCACAAAAUAUGUACUAAUUACAAGGGGGAAAUGAAUGAUUUUACACCAGAGAAGCCUUGCAGACGUCACCUUAAUUAAGUGAGCAGGGCAAACAUCAUUCCUAAUGUGACAAAUUAAAGUCAUGCACCACCUGACUGAAUGCAAGGAGGGAGCUCAGCAUCACUUCUGUGGAAACAUGACUCUAGACAUGACGAAACAGCAGACAAACCAACAUUGGGGCUAUCGCCAAAUAAUUGGAUUGCAAUCACCAAAAAUAUCAAGGAUAUGAAAGUUCUUCAAGAAGGACUUGAAGAACUGUUUCAGAGCGAGGGAGAUUAAGAAGGUACAAAAACUAUGAGCUAGUCGGUCACGUUGGCUCAUGCCUAUAACCCCAGCACUUUGGGGAGGCCAAGGCGGGCAGAUCUCCUGGGGUCAGGAGUUCGAGAUCAGCCUGGCCAACAUGGAGAAACCCUGUCUCUACUGAAAAUAUAAAAACUAGCCAGGCGUGGUGGUUUGUGCCUAUAAUCCCAGCUACUUGGGAGGCUGAGGCAUGAGAAUCACUUGAACCCAGGAGGCAGAGGUUGGAGAGCUGAGAUCAUGCCACUGCACUCCAGCCUGGGUGACAGAGUGAGACUCUGUCUCAAAAGAAAUGAAAAUAAAAAUGAAUAAACAAAUACAUUAGAAAAAGUAAAAUAAAAAUAGGCCAGGCGCCGUGGCUCACGCCUAUAAUCCCAGCACUUUGGGAGGCUGAGGCGGGUGAAUCACGAGGUCAAGAGAUCGAGAUCAUCCUGGUCAGCAAGGUGAAACCCCGUCUCUACUAAAAAUACAAAAAUUAGCUGGGCAUGGUGGCGCGUGCCUGUAAUCCCAGCUACUUGGGAGGGUGAGGCAGGAGAAUUGCUUGAACCCAGAAGGCAGAGGUUGCGGUGAGCCGAGAUCAUCCCAUUGCACUCCAGUCUGGGUAACAACAGUGAAACUCUGUCUCAAAAAAAAAAAAAAAAAAGGAAGAAAAAAUAAAAAAGCAAUAAAUAAAUAAAUAAAUACAUUAGAACCCAGACCAAUUAAAUUGAAGUUUGGGGGGAUGGGAUCCAGUGUUUUUUAAGGCUCCCAGGUGAUUUCAAUGUGCAGCUGAGAUUGAGAACCACAGUUCUAGUAAUAGGUCUGGAUUAGCACUGGGUGGGGAUGUGCAGAAUUCAACUCCUGUGGCAGGUUACUCCUCUAGUGAGGUCUCUAAGAGCUCUUCAGGCAAGAUGACUCCGCAGACAACCGAGGCUCAGUGCAGUACUGUAAGCCUCAGUGCGCUUUUGAGAAUCUUCCUGUUUAUUUAUCAUUGCCUUCACUUCAGCCUAAGAAACUUGGUGAGGCUAUGAAUUCAACUGAUACUGUCAUUUAUCAAACUAUUGCUCAAAUGUCAGGUCUAAUUUUUGGCUGCUUCAGCCCUGUGGCAAUAAGAGGAUAGAGAUUCUUUUAACACAAUCUCUAGUCACUGGACCAUGCUUUAGAUUGAGAAUUUAUAGCAUAUUCUUUCUUUGUCUUUCUUUCUUUUUAAACUUGACAUAGUCUCGGAUUUCCUCUCCCCUCCCAACCAAGAACCAUCUGAGAGUAAGUUGCUGAUGUGAUUAUCCCCUAAUCCUUUAGUGCAACCUUUCUCAACCAGGGUUCCUCAUGUGAUUGACAGAAUAGAAAAAAAAAUGAUUUCAAUUUAAAAAAGCCAUCACCUCACCAGGAACUGAAUUAGCCAGAACCUUGAUCUUGGACUUCCCAGCCUCCAGAACUGUGAGAGUUAAAUUUCUGUUGUUUAAGCCACCCAAUCUAUCAUAUUUUGUUUUAGCAGCCCAAGUUGAUUAACAGGAGGCCUCCUAAAGAAGGCUUGGAGGAAGUGCUACACUGUAUACUCAGAAAGUUAUGGUAGGCUCUUUCCUUCAGUGUGCAUUUAUUCAAGGGACUCUGGACCUGAGAGCUGACUUGGGCUUGGAAAUUGGAACAAGAACUAUUUUUUUUAUCAUGAUGGAUUCAGUCAAACCUCUGUUUGCCAGACUUAGAGUUUUUAGUUAUACCUGAUUCUGUAGAAAUGUAAUGGGCUGUAUAUCUCUCUCUUUCUGGCUUGUAGAUGGCUGCCUUCUUGUUAUAUCCUCACGUGGCCUUGGUGCAUGUAUGUGAAAAGAGAGAUCUCCUUCUCUUCCUCUUCUUAAAGGCCAAUAAUCCCAUCAUGAGGGCCCCAUCCUUAUGACCUAAUCUAACCCUAAUUACUUUCCAAAGGCCCCAUCUCUAAAUAUUAUCAAACUGGGGGUUUGGGUUUCAACAUAUGAAUUUUGGGGAGAACACAUUCAGUCCAUAGUAUUAUACCCCUGACCUCUUAAAAGCACACUGAAGUUUACAGUAGCCCAAACUGUAAUCUUCAUUCAUUCAUUCCAUCCUGCCAGUCCCAAAAGUCUUAAUUUGAUCCAGCACCAACUCUAAAGUCUAAAGUCCAAAGUUUCAUCGAGACUACUAUGGGUGAGACUUGAGGUGUUCAUCCUGAGGCAAAUUCCUCUCCAGUGCUCAACCUGUGAAACCAGACAACUACAAUGAUGGGAAAGGCAUAGGAUAAACAUUAUGAUUUCCGGAAGGAAGAAAUAGGCCAGGCACAGUGGCUCAUGCCUGUAAUCCCAGUGCUUUGGGAGGCUGAGGCGGGUGGCUCACCUGAGGUCAGGAGUUCAAGACCAGUCUGGCCAAAAUGGCAAAACCCCAUCUCUACUAAAAAUACAAAAAUUAGCCUGGUGUGAGGGCUGGCACAUGUAAUCCUAGCUACUCUGGAGGCUGAAGUAGGAGAAUCACUUGAACCCAGGAGGUGGAGGUUGCAGUGAGCUCCAAUCUCGGCAACAAGAACAAAACUCCGUCUUAAAAAAAAAAGAAAGAAAUAAAUAAAUAAAAAAGAAGGACAGCGUGAUUCUGCUGAAAACGUUAAAGACAGAAAAGAAAAAAAGGGGGAAAAAAAAGGACAGGGUGAUGUGGCCCAAGCAAAUCAAAACUUAGCAAGGUGUGUUCUCUUUGAUCUAAAGGCUUGAGAAUAAUCCUCUUUGGUUAUAUGCUCUGCUGUGUGGACCCACUGGGGUGAUGGUCCACCUUCAGGGCUCACUGGGACAGUGGUCCUGCCUCUGCAGCUCUGCCAGGCAGGGUGUGACCUACCAGUUUCUGGGAGUCUAGUCUGAAGGUUCUGCACGAUGGUUCCACCCCCAAGGCUUCAAGUGGUGGCCAUCUGGCCAGCUGAAGUUGAGGCAGGUCUCUGAAUCAUCACUGGGGUUCUCAAGGUCAUUUUUCCAUAGUUUUGAAGAAGAACACAGAUUUUGCAGCCAAAUAGCUCCAUUGUCCUGUCUUGUAGAAUCUAAGAAGUCCUACAGUUUUUCUUCAUGUCAUCUUGUAUCUGUCUUUUUCUUCAUUUCAUCCCAUAUCCAUCCCCUAUCUUUUGUUCAAACUGGCAAUGUGCCUGCUUAUAUAAUCCCAGAAACCCUUCACAAAGCAAUAGUCCAAGCACACCCUCAGUGUUCCCUUUAGAACAAGCUUUCUCAUUUUUUGCAAUACUGGUAGACUGAGUGAGGAUUAUCCAAAUCUUCAAGUUCUGGUUCUUUUUUUUUUUUUGAGGCAGAGUUUUGUUCGUUACCCAGGCUGGAGUGCAAUGAUGAGAUCUCGGCUCACCACAACCUCCGCCUCCUGGGUUCAAGCAAUUCUCCUGCCUCAGCCACCCACAAAGCUGGGAUUACAGGCAUGCGCCACCACGCCUGGCUAUUUUUUUUUUUUUGUAUUUUUGAUAGAGAUGGGUUUUCUCCAUGUUGGUUAGGCUGCUCUUGAACUCCUGAUCUCGUGAUCUGCCUGCCUCGGCCUCCCAAAGUGCUGGAAUUACAGGCACAAGCCACCGUGCCUAGCAAGUUCUGGUUCCUUUUUGCUUUUUCAAUUAAUUCCUUCUUCAAUUAAUCUCUCUCUUCUCACACUUUACUGUAAGUGCUGAGGAGGAACCAAGCCAUUCUUUCCAGACUUUGCUUAGAAAUCUCCUCAGCUGGCUGGGUGUUGUGGCUCACGCCUGUAAUCCCAGCACUUUGAGAGGCCAAGAUGGGCAGAUCACAAGGUCAGGGGUUCGAGACCAGCCUGGCCAACCUCAUGAAAUCUCGUCUCUACUAAAAAUACAAAAAUUAGCUGGGUAUGGUGGCGUAUGCCUGUAAUCCCAGCUACUCUGAAGGUCAAGAAAACAAGUUACCUCCAAUCGUAUAACCAGUAAGUAGGAGAGUCAGAUUUACUCUACAGCUUCUGGUCUUGUCCGUUAUGAUGCACUGCCUUGGUAGUUACCUUUUGGUUUUUUAAAAAAACUAUUAAAAUCACCUCCACCGGGAGGUGGAGAUUGCAGUGAGCUGAGACUGUGCCAUUGCACUCCAGCCUGGAUGACAGAGCAAGACUCUGUCUCAAAAAAAAAAAAAAAGAAACACAGAAAGAAAAGCAGUGGGCCCAAAGCUGAAAAGAAAAAGAAGCGGCGUCUGCGGGAUCUCCAGCUAGGAGAAGAACAAGAUGCCCGGAAGAGAAAUCCCAAAGCUUUUGCAGUUCAGUCUGCUGUGCGGAUGGCUUGAUCCUUUCACUGGACUCAGGAUUUGAAGACAAAGAAGCAUCAUAUUCCAGUGGUUGAUCAAACUCCACUAGAGCCCCCACCAAUAGUGGUGAUGGUGAUGGGGCCUCCAAAAGUUGGAAAGAGCAUUUUGAUACAGUGCCUCAUCGGAAGUUCACCUGGCAGAAGUUGACCGAGAUCUGAGGCCCUGUGACGGUCUUGUCAGGGUGCCAAGCUGUUCUACCUUUCUGGAGUGGUGCAUGGAGAAUAUCAAAAUGAGGAAAUUGACGAUCUGGGCCAUUUUAUUACAGUUAUGAAGUUUAGGCCUCUCACAUGGCAAACUUCUCACCCUUAUGUCCUUGCAGACAGGGUGGAAGAUUUGACAAACCAAGAGGAUAUACAAACAAACAUCAAAUGUGAUCAGAAGGUGUCACUUUAUGGUAAAGAAGAGCGCACUUAAGAAAUAAAAGCCAGAUUCAUAUGCCAGGAUGAGGUGGGGUCCACUCAUGAGCUGGUCCAGAGUCUCGUCUCCACUCACUCCAUCGAUACCAAGAUGGCUUCAAGUUGAGUGAUGCUGUUUUCUGAUUCCAAGCCACUUGGGUCAGAGGAUAUAGAUAAUCAAAGGUAAGUCUGCUUUUUUUUUUUAUUUUUAAUAAAAAGGUAUAUUACAGAAGAUGUGUAAUUCUGCGAUCAGAACACAUUUUGGUGGGAUUCAUUCUAGGUUGAUUUGUUUUUCUUUGUGUGUGCAUGUGUCUGAGGGCUCUUCACUUACCUGACAUUACAAGAAAGUAUUUACUUGAAAUAAAAUACAGGAUGCAUUUUUGGACAGUCCUCAAAUAUUCUUUAAAUUCCAUGCCAUUUUCCAUAGGUUGCUUUUUGUUUUUUUAAGGGACUUGAGGCCACUUGGCUUUUUUUUUGGUGGCCAAAACACUAGAGCAGACCCAGAGAGUUUGUGGCUGUCCAGAAGUCACAUGUCUUGGCUCUGAAAGUUUUAUUUAGAUUAUGUUGUACUGUCUCCCGUGGGUAGGUUUCCACUGAUGUGUGGCUUAUGUGAAUUCUUUUUCAGUCUGGGUUGGAAAUUUGUUAUACACAGAGGAUGUUGGCAAAACCUUGGUUUUGUUGUAUUGAUUUGUUACUCCCAGUAAAAUGUAUCUGAAAAUUUUGAGAUUAUCUAGUAUGUAAUUUGUUACACUGUGCAUAAACUACCUAGCACAGUACCUGACAGAUAUGAAGUGUUCACUGAAAGAUCACUCUUUUAUAAUGAGUGUUAUGAGCUGUUUUCAUUUUUGCAUAUCCUUCUAGUCAUCCUUGGCUACAAGAAUACUGCCUUCUAAUAUAGUUACAGUUUAAAUACAUAAUUUUAUUUCUAUAUUCUGAGCAUUUCCUUUUUCUAUACAGUCUUUAGGUCAUCAUUAUUUUGUUAUUAUUGGUGUAUUCUUUUUCUUUGUUUUUGAAACAAGGUCUCACUUUGUCUCCCAGGCUGGAGUGCAGUGGCAUGAUCUUGGCUCACCAUAACAUUGAACUCCCAGGCUGAAGUGAUCCUCUCACUUCAGCCCCACAAGUAGCUGGGACUGCAGGAGUGUGGGAGCUUUCAGCCUGUCUCCUGUGUCCUUUCAACCACUCCUGGCUAAAUUUUUUUUUAACUAUUUUCUAGAGAUAAGGUAUCACUAUGUAGCCCAGGCUGGUCUAGAACUCCUGGGCCCAAGGAAUCCUCCCGCGUUGGCCUCCGAAAAUCACUGGAUUAGCCUUGCCUGUUAUUGCUGUAUUCUAACUUACCCAUCUCUUAUGGUAUGAUUUUUAGUUGUUCCUAAUUUAUGUUUUUAUAAUUUUAUGUAUUGUGCUAUGUUAAACAGCUUGAUGCAGUUGUGUUUCAUCCUGUGAUUUUAGCCUCCUGAUGAUUCUUUGUUACCAGUUAUGGCAGUGGUGACUUAAAAUGAAUGUUCUUCCUCUGUCAGUCCUUCUACAUUUGUUAGCUGGCAUUUUUAACAAAGAACUUUCACUCCUCCUCUUUAUUUCAAUAUCACUGGUGACUAAUGCACUUGUGUUUUAUUCCAUGGGUUAUUUUCUAUCACUAUCAUUAUUCUUUCUGAUGCCUAUGCUGUCUCAGAUUCGGCUGCGGGAGCCUAUGUCCUUUCACCUGUCUAUGUUAGUCUUUGAGCAUUUCUUACUUUCUGACAGAACAAGAGGUUCCAGGCUCAUUUUAUCUUCUUUUUACUUUGGGGCUGGAAUUAGCCUUUCUCUUAAGGAUUAUGUGUUUUUAGCUUAGAAAUUGAUGAGGUUUCCAAAAGAUCUACGAAACACUAACUUCCUUUUUGAGCAAUUGUUUUCUAAAAUUAGAUUAAUCUUUUUAAAGGGUUAUUCAUUUAUUCUCUCUCUAUAUUUUUUGAAGUGUUGUAUUAGGGAACCAUGCCUGAGUUUGCCUAUUAACUCUUCCAAUGUUUAUCAGAUCAUUUUUUACCUCUGCUAUGUCAUCCUAAACAAUUCUUUGACAUUUUCUAUUUCUUUGUAUUUUCAUUGACUAUAUUGUCAUUUCUAGACUUGCUGAUGAACCUGCAAAUUGAAUUCUUUUGCAUUUUCUUUCUAAUAAUAUAGGCUAUUGAUGCCAAAGGAAAAAAAACAAAUGGACUUGAAAAUGAUAUACCUAACUAACAUGUCAACAGUCUACACAGCCCUUUUAUGUAGAAGGGAAUUUAUUUUUAUCACAUAACCUAUAGAAUUAACAAUCUGAAUACAAAUACAUUACAUUUUGUAAAAUGCAAGUAAUCUUAUGUAAGAUCAGCUUGACUGCCAAGUUUUGUUUUGUUUAUUUGUUUUGAGACAGAGUUUCACUCCAUCGCACAGGCUUGAGUACAGUGGCAUGAUCUCGGCUCCCUGAAACCUCCACCUCCUAGGUUCAAGCAAUUCUGCCUCAACCUCCUGAGUAGCUGGGAUUAUAGGCGUGUGCCACCACAUCAGGCUAAUUUUUGUAUUUUAGUAGAGCUGGGGUUUCACCACGUUGGCCAGGCUG